UGAUGCAUGAGCCGGUGCCCACCUUCCGUCUCCGCGUCGUCUCGGUCCGCCCGUGGGUGGUGCCGACGACGCAGGUGCGGAAGGUGCGGCUGAGAAUACACGGCCGAAACUUGAUCUGGAUAAUACCAGCGAAAGGAUCAUGCUUCCCCUUCCC
rnacentral:ncRNA from 1 species